GACGAACGCUGGCGGCGUGCUUAACACAUGCAAGUCGAACGCUGAAGCUCUUCGGGGUGGAUGAGUGGCGAAAGGGUGAGUAACACGUGGGUAAUCUGCCCUGCACUCUGGGAUAAGCCUUGGAAACGGGGUCUAAUACCGGAUAGGAAACAUCGCCGCAUGGUGUUUGCUUGGAAAGUUUCUGAGGGGCAGGUUGAGCCCGAGGCCUAUCAGCUUGUUGGUGGGGUGAUGGCCUACCAAGGCGACGACGGGUAGCCGGCCUGAGAGGGUGACCGGCCACACUGGGACUGAGACACGGCCCAGACUCCUACGGGAGGCAGCAGUGGGGAAUCUUGCGCAAUGGGCGAAAGCCUGACGCAGCGACGCCGCGUGCGGGAAGAAGGCCUUCGGGUUGUAAACCGCUUUCAGGAGGGACGAAGCCACUCGGGUUAAUAGCCCAGAGGGUGACGGUACCUCCAGAAGAAGCCCCGGCUAACUACGUGCCAGC
rnacentral:rRNA from 1 species